GCCGCUGCGAGAAGGCGGCGCAGGUCGAAUACCAGGAGGUGGGGGCGAAGCUAUCCCACUUGCUUUCGAAAUUGAACCCUGCCGCCGAGGAGUCUCUCUCUCUCUCUCUUUCUCUCUCUCUCUCUUCACUUCCAUGGGACGGCAAAAAGGCGGCGGCACCAAAGCUGAAGCUGACGGCCAGAAGAGUCAUGGCCUCGCCCUGGGCACCGCCUGCGUCGAGGGAGACAGAAUGGGGGUGGACGGCGAGGAGAUGGAGGAGAAGGCCGAGAGAUCCAAUCUCGACGACUCGCCGUUGAUCGGCGCGGACAACACCAGCGCCGACUACUACUUCGUUCCUAUCCCCAUUUAGGUAUCCAUGAAGUUAGUUAUUCAUUUCUGAUUCAUGAGCUACUACAUGUUGCCAUCAUGGGGAAUGUUUUCAAAUGGCUGACAUGGCAAAAGAAAUAGUUAGAACAAAUGGAUAUUCUGACGGUGACCAGUGAUUAUCUAUAUUUGAUGAUUGCACUCCUAAGUUCCAUCUUACUUAUUCAUCAUAUUUUAUCUAUAGUUAUAACUGUGCUAAAAGGGAAAGUUGAAGACAUUGAGCUUCCAGUGGCUCAUGUAGAUGUUAUCAUGUCUGAAUGGAUGGGCUAUUUCCUGUUGUUUGAGAACAUGCUAAACACAGUUCUUUAUGCACACGAUAAAUGGCUUGGACCACUGGGACUCCAUCAAUGUCAUCCUCUAUUGGCUGCUCCAAAUUAUGUUUUGCCUUAUGAAGAUCAUCUCGUCCCCUUAUUUCCACUGGCUGUGAAUUAGCAUUGCACUGAGGUAGUUUGAUAUUAUUUGGAGUUUUUACUGAGGGUUUGUUUAAGUAAGUAUUCCCUUCAAGAAGUAACUGAGGUGAUGCAGCUAUCAACUUCUGAACCUGUUUCAGUAGAAUGUUAUGGACAGCGCAAGAAGAUAGAGAGCCAAUGAACAUAAUUAGCUGAGCUGAGCUGUUGAAACUAACCUCUAUCAAUCUGUGAAGCUCAAACACUUGACGAAGUAAACAAUGAUUUCAUAUUUAUGAAUGUGGGCUAAUGUGAAGUCGGAAUGUUUGUAAUCCAUGCUUGUACCUGUUCACAUCAAUUUUCUCGCAAGCUUAACAAGGCAUUUAAUCUAUUUUGUACAUGCCCAAGAUCAAAGGUUACACACUGGAAACAAA